rnacentral:rRNA from 1 species
AUUGAACGCUGGCGGAAUGCUUUACACAUGCAAGUCGAACGGCAGCACGGACUUCGGUCUGGUGGCGAGUGGCGAACGGGUGAGUAAUGUAUCGGAACGUGCCCAGUCGUGGGGGAUAACGUAGUGAAAAUUACGCUAAUACCGCAUCCGAUCUAUGGAUGAAAGCGGGGGAUCGCAAGACCUCGCGCGAUUGGAGCGGCCGAUAUCAGAUUAGGUAGUUGGUGGGGUAAAGGCCCACCAAGACAACGAUCUGUAGCUGGUCUGAGAGGACGACCAGCCACACUGGAACUGAGCCACGGUCCAGACUCCUACGGGAGGCAGCAGUGGGGAAUUUUGGACAAUGGGCGAAAGCCUGAUCCAGCCAUUCCGCGUGCAGGAUGAAGGCCCUCGGGUUGUAAACUGCUUUUGUACAGAACGAAAAGGUUUCUACUAAUACUGGGAGCUCAUGACGGUACUGUAAGAAUAAGCACCGGCUAACUACGUGCCAGCCGCCGCAGUAA